rnacentral:rRNA from 1 species
GUUUGAUUCUGGCUCAGAUUGAACGCUGGCAGUCACUUACUACAUACAGUGAAACGGCAGCAGCACGGACUUCGGUCUGGUGGCGGCGAGUGGCGAACAGGUGAGCGUGAGCGUUAUCGGAACAUACGCCUGAUGGCGGAUAACCUGCGAAAAAGCGCUGCUGUACCGCAUACGCCCUUCGGGGAAAACGUUUUGGGAGCCUUCAGACCUCGCCUGCUAUUGAAACGGCCGAUAUCGGGUUGCUUCGUUGGGUGAAUGUUGGCGGCUCACCAAGGCGACAGUCCGUAGCUGGUUUGAAGGACGACCAGCCACACUGGGACUGAGACACGGCCCAGACUCCUACGGGGAGGCAGCAGUGGGGAAUUUUGAACCGUGGGGAAACCUGAUCCCAGCCAUCCCGCGUGUGCGAUGAAGGCCUUCGGGUUGUAAAGCACUUUUUAGCAGAAAAAACGGCACAGGAUAAUACCCCGUGCAACUGACGGUACCUGCAGAAUAAGCACCGGCUAACUACGUGCCAGCAGCCGCGGUAAUACGUAGUGCAAGCGUUAAUCGGAAUUACUGGGCGUAAAGCGUGCGCAGGCGGUUCGGAAAGAAAGAUGUGAAAUCCCAGAGCUUAACUUUGGAACUGCAUUUUUAACUACCGAGCUGAAGGUGUCAGAGGGAGGUGGAAUUCCGCGCGAUAACAACGGUGAAAUGCGUAGAUAUGCGGAAGACACCGAUGGCGAAAGGCAGCCUCUGGGAUCUACUUACCUGACGCUCAUGCACGAAGGCGUGAGGAAUGACAAGUUAGGUACCCUGGUAGUCCACGCCCUAAACGAUGUCAACUAGCUGUUGGGGCCUUCGGGCCUGGUAGCGCAGCUAACGCGUGAAGUUGACCGCCGUAAGAGUACGGUCGCAAGAUUAAAACUCAAAGGAAUUGACGGGGACCCGCACAAGCGGUGGAUGAUGUGGAUUAAUUCGAUGCAACGCGAAAAACCUUACCUACCCUUGACAUGUCUGGAAUCCCGAAGAGAUUUGGGAGUGCUCGCAAGAGAACCGGAACACAGGUGCUGCAUGGCUGUCGUCAGCUCGUGUCGUGAAGGAUGUUGGGUUAAGUCCGCAGCGAGCGCAACCCUUGUCAUUAGUUGCUACGAAAGAGCACUCUAAUGAAGACUGCCAUUGAUAGCCGGGAAGGUGGGGAUGACGUCAAGUCCUCGUAGCCCGCCUUAUGGGUAGGGCUUCACACGUCAUACAAUGGUCAGGACGAGAGGGUCGCCAACCCGCGAGGGGGAGCCAAUCCCAGAAACCCGAUCGUAGUCCGGAUCGCAGUCUGCAACUCGACUGCGUGAAGUCGGGAAUCGCUAGUAAUCGCGGAUCAGCAUGUCGCGGUGAAUACGUUCCCGGGUCUUGUACACACCGCCCGUCCACCAUGGGAGUGGUUUUACCAAAGGAAGGCAAAUUCGCCUAACAGCAGGAGAGGCGAUUACCACAGUAGGAUCAUGACUGGGGUGAAGUCGUAACAAGGUAG